GCGGUUGUGGCGGAACAGGUAGACGCAAGGGAUUUAAAAUCCCUCGGUGGAGACAUCAUGUGGGUUCGAUUCCCACCAGCCGCA
rnacentral:tRNA from 1 species